UACGUAGGUGGCAAGCGUUGUCCGGAUUUACUGGGCGUAAAGAGCGCGCAGGCGGCUGGGCAAGUCCGAUGUGAAAGCUUCCGGCUUCGAACUGGAAAAUUGCAUCGGAAACUGCUCGGCUUGAAGGUGGGAGAGGGUAGCGGAAUUCCCGGUGUAGUGGUGAAAUGCGUAGAUAUCGGGAGGAACACCAGUGGCGAAGGCGGCUACCUGGCCCACUCUUGACGCUGAGGCGCGAAAGCUAGGGGAGCAAACGGG
rnacentral:rRNA from 1 species